UACGUAGGGUGCAAGCGUUGUCCGGAAUUAUUGGGCGUAAAGAGCUCGUAGGCGGGUUGUCGCGUCUGCUGUGAAAACCCGAGGCUCAACCUCGGGCCUGCAGUGGGUACGGGCAGACUAGAGUGCGGUAGGGGAGAUUGGAAUUCCUGGUGUAGCGGUGGAAUGCGCAGAUAUCAGGAGGAACACCAAUGGCGAAGGCAGAUCUCUGGGCCGUAACUGACGCUGAGGAGCGAAAGCAUGGGGAGCGAACAGG
rnacentral:rRNA from 1 species